rnacentral:lncRNA from 1 species
UUAAUUCUCUUUUCUUUCUUUUUCUCUGCCCUUCCAGUUGAAACUAUGGAACAAAUUCCGGGUGUCCAACAUCCCCUCGCUGAUAUUUAUAGAUGCCAACACUGGGAAAGUGGUUUGUCGGAAUGGCCUCUUGGUGAUCCGAGAUGACCCAGAAGGCCUGGAGUUCCCGUGGGGUCCCCGGCCAUUCAGCGAGGUGGUGGCCGGCCCUCUUCUCCGAAAUAGCGGGCCUGCCCUUGACAGCAGCGUCUUGGAAGGCUCCCACGUCGGGGUUUAUUUCUCUGCUCACUGGUGCCCACCCUGUAGAAGUCUCACUCGGGUUCUGGUGGAAUCUUACCGGAAAAUCAAAGAUGCUGGUCAAAAAUUCGAGAUUGUCUUUGUUAGUGCAGACAGGUCGGAAGAGUCGU